AAUUUUUACCCCACAUGAAUUUCAAGUAGUGCAUGUUUUGGCAUUGAAAGUUUAUCCAUAUAUAUAUGAUUCACGAACGUAUGUUAAUCUAUGUAUUAUGUUAAUCUAUGUAUGACUUUAUUCAUUUUACAUAAUGAAAGAUAAACUCGCAUCUUCCUUAUGUCUCCUCUAUAAUAUAUUUGUAUGUAGGUUAAUUCAACAUGAUCAAGACAAGCAAUCAAUGGAGGUUUUCUUGCGGAACUGAAGUACUAGAGGCUUGUACUUCACUUUAUUUUAAG
rnacentral:lncRNA from 1 species